rnacentral:lncRNA from 1 species
CAUUUUUUAUUAUAAUUUUCCUUAUUUACGAAAAUAGCUAAAUUUUUAUUUCAACGUAAAAUCGAUUUAAUUCUUACUUGUAUCCGAACCAAACGAAAUCUUAGAAUAACUAAAAAUAAACUUAAUUUUUAUAUUUGAAUGCUAAAUUUAUUAAGUAAUAAUUAAUAAUGAGUAUUGUUACUUAAUAAAUUAAUUAACCACAGAUAGCUUAAUAAAUCAAUUUAAUUAUUUAUUUAGUAGUUGGGUUAGCUAUUAUACUAUUGAUAGUACCAAGAGCUUGGUGUUAUCAAAUUUUUUGUCAUUAGAUCUAUCUCUUUAACUAUUUUCACCCUUUAAAUCAUACUUAUAUAAUCAACCAUCUACUCAAUUCUAGAAAACCCACUAGCACGAUUUGGACGGCAUAUCCUAUUUUUUGAAAGAAAGGUAGUACGCUACCCGCUUCGUUUAUUUCAUUUAGAAAUAAACUUAGCUAGAAAUGUGAAUCAACUAGGAUUCGAACUUAGGACCUCAGAUACCAACCACCAAGCUCUUUGCCACUUGCUCUAGGGAUGGUUGAUUUUGGACAGCAUAUCCUAGAAUGGACUAUAUGAUGAAAGUGCACACUGUAGAUAGAUUGCAGUUAGAUUACUUUUUAUCUUAUAUUUAUUUAUCUGUACAUUAUUGUUACACUAGUAAAGGACCCGCGCGUUGCGGCGGAAUAAUUCCGUAAAAAUAAAUAUAUAGAUAAAAUAAAAAUAGCAAAAAGAAGAGCCAAAAAAUUAUAUAAAAAAAAAGCAACUGAAAAAUAAACAACUAUUGCUGCAAUAAAAAUAUAAAAAUAAAUUAUAAGAAUGAUUAAAAAAAAUAAAGAAAAAAAUCAUACAAAUAAGUAAUUAUAUUUAUAGCAGCAAUAAAUGUUGAGAACUAAAAUAAUAUAACUUAUAUAUAUUUCAAAUCAGAAAUUAAAACUAAUUAAAGUUUGAAAAUCAAAGUGUCACAUGCCUCAUAGUUUAAAUUAUAACACAUUAAAGUUCGAGAAUUAAAGUGUCACCCGUCUUAUAGUUUUAAGGACAAAAAGUGUAAAUCCAAUCUUUCAAAAUUUUGUUUUUAUUAUCCAACUUUUUUAUAUUUUAGAUUUGAGUUAGUUAAUAAUACUUUAGCUUUAAAAAUUUGAAUGUAUCGCUUAACUCUAAAGAUUUAAUUAGUAUGUUUUAAGCGAUUCUUGCAACUAAAUUUUAUAUAAUAUAAAAUAAACUUAAACUCCAUUAAUAUUUUUUUGAUUUUUUAGUGUACAAUCUAUAUCUAAAUAUUCAAAAUUAUAAAAUUAAAAUUUAUAUUUAAUACAAAUAUUCUAAACUCCCACGCGCACGCGCCUUGCUCGCUCCCCUGCGUGCGCCCGCGCUCGCCCCCGCUCCCUUCGCCGCCACGUGUAU